rnacentral:rRNA from 1 species
AGAGAAAUUUGGAUUAAUACCUCAUAGUGUUAUUAGAUGGCAUCAUUUGAUAACUAAAGUUCCAACGGUAAAAGAUGGGCAUGCGUCUAUUAGCUAGAUGGUAAGGUAACGGCUUACCAUGGCUACGAUAGGUAGGGGUCCUGAGAGGGAGAUCCCCCACACUGGUACUGAGACACGGACCAGACUCCUACGGGAGGCAGCAGUGAGGAAUAUUGGACAAUGGGCGCAAGCCUGAUCCAGCCAUGCCGCGUGCAGGAAGAAGCAUCUAUGGUGUGUAAACUGCUUUUGUACGGGAAGAAACACUCCUACGUGUAGGAGCUUGACGGUACCGUAAGAAUAAGGAUCGGCUAACUCCGUG